rnacentral:rRNA from 1 species
UCGGAUUGUAGUCUGCAACCCGACUACAUGAAGCUGGAAUCGCUAGUAAUCGCGGAUCAGAAUGCCGCGGUGAAUACGUUCCCGGGUCUUGUACACACCGCCCGUCACACCAUGGGAGUCGGAAAUGCCCGAAGUCUGUGACCCAACCGGAAGGAAGGAGCAGCCGAAGGCAGGUCUGAUGACUGGGGUGAAGUCGUAACAAGGUAGC